UCGGCUACGACUGGGUCCUGCGGUUUAAA
rnacentral:sRNA from 1 species